AAAGAGGAAUUAGGUUAAAGAACAUUCACGUACAUUUGAGAGUAGGUCUCCCUCCCCACAAUACGCGAAUGGCGCCGGUGUACUACUUCGACGAGCUUCUCUGUCGCCGUCUUUCAAGCACCAUUGCAAAUAACAAGAGCAAAACGACAUCUCCUCCUCAACACCUCAUACUUCUCCUCCCUAUCUCCGACGAAACCUGCCAGAGUGCUCCGACGACUCUUGAACCGUGAUGACAAGAAGAUCAGAGGAACCUUUAAUCCUCAGUUGAAGGUGAGUAGCGUUGAUGCGUGAGGUUGACGAUGAUGAUAUCGAUUGAAGAAUGAAGAUGAUGCGUCUCUAAUGAUGAAUCGAUGAUGAUGACGUUGUGGAAGAUUGAGUCGCGAAGACGAUGAUGAUUAUUGGAUUUUGAUGCGUUUCUUUUUUAUCGACCUCGUUCCACUGAAGCUAAUGAAGAUGAUGAUUAUUGAAGGUUGAAGUUGCGAAAAUGAUGAUGCUGCUUCGUGUUGCUGUCGAUGAUGAAGUUACGAUGGCGAAGCUCGGAAAGUUUUUUUUUGUGAGUUCAAGUGUGAAGGAUCCUUUUGUGAAUUGAAGACGAAGAUUAUUGAAGAAAAGUGAGCACGGUUCAGAGAGAGUUCUGGAAAUUGUGGAGAUUUCUGAAGAGUUUGUUACAGGUUCUGUUAUUGGUUUGUUAGAGAUUUCUUCUCAAUUCUCUUCAAUUUCUCCUUCUUUUUUUUAUGGAUUCUGUUGCAAUUUUCUGUGACUUUUUGAAGAUUGAAAGCUGACACGAAGGUGAUGAUUAUGCUCUGAGGAAGGUGAAGAUUCGAUGAUUGCAGAUGAAGAAAUUAUGAAGGUGAAGAUUCGAUGAUUGCAGAUGAAGAAAUUAUGAAGGUGAAGAUUGAAGGUUAUGAAGAUAGAAGAAGCCGAGGUUGAUGAAGAGAGGAUGAAGCUUUGUGAAUCCAUUUGUUCCCUCCUCCUUCAGAAGUUUGUUACGUUUUUUUUCUUGAUAAUCUCUUCUUCUUUUCUGUUAUCCCGGUUGAAUCAAGAGAGAGAGAAUUGAAGUCUUGAUUGAGAAAGUUUUUUUUGUUACAUUUUUCUUUGGAAUUCUGUUAUGUGGUUGAUCUUUUUUCGUGAACUUUUCUGUUAUGAUCUUCUCCUAUAUACUUUCUGUUGCUGAUUUUCUUGUUCAAUUAUUCUGCUGAAGCUUUGUUCGGUUCGAACCGGUUUUGGGUUCGGUUUAUUUUCUCUUGUUUUUGCUGUAUGCAGCUGGUUUCUCUUUGAAUUGGCUUCUUUUCAGUUUGGGCUCAAAUUUGUUUAUGCAGGGCUGUAUCGGUUUUUAGCUUCAUUUCUGUACCGGUUUUUAUUUGUAUUGCAUGUGGAUAUCGCUUUGAUUGGGACAUCGGCAAGCUUGUUCAAUUGCUUUGCAGGCGUGAUCUUGAAUGUGGAAGCCGCAAGCUGUUGGUUUAUUUGCUAAGUGCAGCUGGAAUUUUUAUUGUAAUUUUGUAAUGGAUUUACAUUGUAUGAUGAAUUGGAAUUUGAACCAUUGAAUGCAA